rnacentral:rRNA from 1 species
GACGUAGGGGGCGAGCGUUAUUCGGAAUUAUUGGGCGUAAAGCGCGCGCAGGCGGUCCUUUAAGUCUGAUGUGAAAGCCCACGGCUCAACCGUGGAGGGUCAUUGGAAACUGGGGGACUUGAGUACAGAAGAGAAGAGUGGAAUUCCACGUGUAGCGGUGAAAUGCGUAGAGAUGUGGAGGAACACCAGUGGCGAAGGCGACUCUUUGGUCUGUAACUGACGCUGAGGCGCGAAAGCGUGGGGAGCAAACAGG